UGUUUGUGUAUGUGUUUUUGUGUGUGAGUGUGUGUGUGUGUUUGUUUGUGUGUGUACUAUGUGUGUUUGUGUAUGUUAUAUAUAUAUGUGUUAAUGUGUAUGUAUGUGUGGAUGGGUUUUUGUGUGUAUACGUGUGUGUGUGUGUUUUUUUUUGUGUGAAUGUGUGUGUGUUUGUUUGUGUUUGAGAGUGUUUGUAUGUGAGUGUCUUUGUCUGCGUAAUGUGUGUGUGGCUAUAUGUUUAUACGAUUGUGCGUGUGUGUGUUUAUGUGUUUAAUAUAUGUGUUUGUGAAAGACUGUGUGUGAGUCAUUUUUUGUGUGUA
rnacentral:lncRNA from 1 species